rnacentral:rRNA from 1 species
GACGAACGCUGGCGGCGUGCCUAAUACAUGCAAGUCGAACGCAGUGGGGACGGGUGAGUAACACGUGGGUAAGCUCCCAUCAGAGGGGAAAACACUUGGAAACAGGUGCUAAACCGAUACUGAUGGAUGGACCCUGGGUGCAUUACCUAGUUGGUGAGGUAACGGCUAACCAAGGCCACGAUGCAUAGCUGACCUGGGAGGUGGUCAGGCAACACUGGGACGGAGACACGGCCAGGACUCCUACGGGGGGCAGCAGUAGGGAAUCUUCGGAAAUGGACGAAAGUCUGACCGAGCAACGCCGCGUGAGUGAAGAAGGUUUAGGGAUCGUAAAACUCUGUUGUUAGAGAAGCGGUAUCGAAACAGAAAGCCACGGCUAACUCCGUGCCAGCAGCCGCGGUAAUUC